rnacentral:misc_RNA from 1 species
GGUAGUAAUCCAAGUUUUCUUCCUCAUCGCUGUUCAACCAUUCUCUUCCCAGGACUUUGGGUUCGAAAUCACAAUCACUACGACAUAAAAUUGAAGUUUCAAGCUCGAGUAUAUGUAUCUCUUGAAUGUAGCAGUUGUCAUUUUGAAAGAGGAGGUCAAUGUGAAAUUAAGAGCAAUGGAGAUUUUUUCUGUGCUAAUGCAAGAAGACCUGCCAAAGGUGUUCAGGAUGACGCAGGGGGACAAAAAUGGGGAUGGCGCCAAACACUAGCUUUAGUUCUUGGACUUGCUGCAAUAACGGUUAUUUCACCGACCAUAAUUUUAAUCUGGUGUCGAUAUGAGAGAAAAUAUUCCUCCUCAAACUUCAUCCCAUCAAAUAAUUCUUAUGAUCCCUCCACAAAGUCAGAAAUCGAAGGGGGCAGUGUCUACUCUGGUGUCCCCAUCUUCCCCUAUACCGAAGUUGAAGAAGCCACAAGUAACUUCGAUUCUCAAAAGGAACUUGGAGAUGGAGGUUUUGGGGCUGUGUACUAUGGCAAACUUCAAGACGGACGUGAAGUUGCAGUCAAGCGCCUUUAUGAUCACAACUAUAAAAGGGUUAAGCAAUUCCUCAAUGAAAUUGAAAUCCUUAGACGCCUGCACCACAGAAAUCUCGUGUCCCUCUAUGGUUGCACUUCACUGUGCAGUCGUGAACUCCUCCUUAUCUAUGAAUAUGUUCCAAAUGGCACUGUCGCU